AAAUGAAAUUUAUAAUUCUACAGCCUGCGUUUUCAAAUAACGCUGCACCCAAGCACUCCCAGGCAGCUGUAUUUCUGUAUUGCUUUCGUUGUGGCUUGUAUCACUGUGGAGCGAUCUGAGAAGAUCUGAAUGUGUGGCAAGAAAGACCAUUCUGUACCGACAUAUCCUCCGAUUUGACCAGGAAAAAGAUCGUCAUAACAAUAAUUGUCUUGACAUUACAAGGGAUUUGACCAAUAAUUUAAAAAAAUCUCAUCGGACCAACGUAGCUUGAUUUUAACCAAGGAUAAAUAAAUAGGCAGAUUCGACCGAUGUUAGAAACGAUUCAACCAGGAAUGAUAAACAAUAAUCUUGGAUUGACAUCAAAAGCGAUUUGACCAGGUAUAAAAGACAUAACAAACAAGCGACUUGUCAAGGGAUAGAAGUUAAUCUUGGUCCAAUAUCAAGCGUUUUGACAAGAAGCCUGUAUGGGUGUAAGCGCUGCUCCACGAGACAUCGAUAGGCGCGUGACAAGCGAAACGACGGACAGCGAAGUGUCGGAAUCGACCACCAUGUGGUGCGGUACAGAGCGAGGAAGGGAGCGGCUCCGUUCCGAAAGUGACGGCUCCGUCUUCGAGGAGGAGUACAGGAUACUGGUGCUGGGAGCAAGAGGAGUCGGGAAAACAGGUCAGCUGCAAUGAGUUAAUUAAUCCUCUCUUACCUGAGGGGUUGGAAGGAAUAUGGUCGAACUUGCUCUAAAGGUCUACUGCCCAAGACAACCACCCUUACAGACGACCACUUCCGACUUGCCUCAAUGUAUUUUGUUUUUGUUUUUCCUUUAUUAUAUUUUUUAUGUAUACCGAUACUAUCCCAGGUGACCUCGGUAGCCUUGUGGUUUGGCUACCGGACUCGUAGUCGUGAGAUUGCGGGAUCGGGGACUUGAGCGUUUUGUCCUUUGGAAGAAGAAAGGCACUUUACUCGAAUUUCCUACUUGGCUCGUCCCUUUCAGGGAUGGCCGUUAAACUCGGAGGUCUCACCUCUUAAAUGAUCUAACAGUGUUAAAAAGGGGCGUUAAACCUAUACCAUUUUCCACACUAUCCCAUAAAGUCCAUCCACUUGUCUAAGACAGCCACUUUUCUCUUCGAUACUGGGUGACCAUCUAGGACUUUGUUGACUGUAGUUCUAA